rnacentral:rRNA from 1 species
ACGGGUGAGUAACACGUAUGCAACCAACCAGUAACAGGGGGAUAACCCGGAGAAAUCCGGACUAAUACCGCAUAAGACCACGAUAUCGCAUGAUAUAGAGGUCAAAUAUUUAUAGGUUAUGGACGGCAUGCGUCUGAUUAGCUGGUUGGCGGGUAACGGCCACAAGGCAUCGAUCAGUAGGGUUCUGAGAGGAAGGUCCCCCACAUUGGAACUGAGACACGGUCCAAACUCCUACGGGAGGCAGCAGUGAGGAAUAUUGGUCAAUGGGCGAAAGCCUGAACCAGCCAUGUCGCGUGAAGGAAUGAAGGUCCUAUGGAUUGUAAACUUCUUUUGCAGGAGGGUAAAGUGAGCUACGUGUAGUUCAUUGCAAGUACCCUGCGAAUAAGCAUCGGCUAACUCCGUGCCAGCCGCAGC